UACGGAGGAGGCAAGCGUUAUCCGGAAUUACUGGGCGUAAAGCGUGCGCAGGCGGUGAUGUAAGACAGGUGUGAAAUCCCCGGGCUUAACCUGGGAACUGCAUUUGUGACUGCAUCGCUGGAGUGCGGCAGAGGGGGAUGGAAUUCCGCGUGUAGCAGUGAAAUGCGUAGAUAUGCGGAGGAACACCGAUGGCGAAGGCAAUCCCCUGGGCCUGCACUGACGCUCAUGCACGAAAGCGUGGGGAGCAAACAGG
rnacentral:rRNA from 1 species